GACGAACGCUGGCGGCGUGCUUAACACAUGCAAGUCGAACGAAGAGCGAUGGAAGCUUGCUUCUAUCAAUCUUAGUGGCGCACGGGUGAGUAACGCGUAAUCAACCUGCCCUUCAGAGGGGGACAACAGUUGGAAACGACUGCUAAUACCGCAUACGAUCUAAUCUCGGCAUCGAGGAUAGAUGAAAGGUGGCCUCUACAUGUAAGCUAUCACUGAAGGAGGGGAUUGCGUCUGAUUAGCUAGUUGGAGGGGUAACGGCCCACCAAGGCGAUGAUCGGUAGCCGGUCUGAGGGGAUGAACCGCCCCAAUUGGACUGGGAAACGGCCCAGACUCCUACGGGAGGCAGCAGUGGGGAAUCUUCCGCAAUGGACGAAAGUCUGACGGGGCAACGCCGCGUGAGGGAUGACGGCCUUCGGGUUGUAAAGCUCUGUUAAUCGGGACGAAAGGACUUCUUGCGAACAGUUAGAAGGAUUGACGGUACCGGAAUAGAAAGCCACGGCUAACUACGUG
rnacentral:rRNA from 1 species